CCAAUAGCGUAUAUUAAAGUUGUUGCAGUUAAAAAGCUCGUAGUUGAAUUUCGGGACCAGUAUGUCGGUCGUGCUUCGGUACGUACUUGCAUUAUUGGUUUCUCCCUUCUGACGAACCAUGAUGUCAUUAAUUUGAUGUCAUGGGAAAUCAGGACUGUUACUUUGAAAAAAUUAGAGUGUUUAAAGCAGGCUCGCGCUUGGAUACAUUAGCAUGGAAUAAUGAAAUAGGACGUUUGAUUCUAUUUUGUUGGUUUCUAGGAUCGACGUAAUGAUUAAUAGGGAUAGUUGGGGGCAUUAGUAUUCAAUUGUCAGAGGUGAAAUUCUUGGAUUUAUUGAAGACUAACUACUGCGAAAGCAUUUGCCAAGGAUGUUUUCAUUAAUCAAGAACGAAAGUUAGGGGAUCGAAGACGAUCAGAUACCGUCGUAGUCUUAACCAUAAACUAUGCCGACUAGGGAUCGGAUGAUGUUAAUUUUUUAAUGACUCAUUCGGCGCCUUACG
rnacentral:rRNA from 1 species